rnacentral:tRNA from 2 species
GCCGGGAUAGCUCAACGGUGGAGCAACGCUUUUGUAAAGCGAAGGUUGAAGGUUCAAAUCCUUUUCCCGGCU